UGUGAAAUUGAAAAGGUUUCGAGGUUGU
rnacentral:sRNA from 1 species